GAUGAACGCUAGCGGGAGGCCUAACACAUGCCAGCCGAGCGGUAGAGUUUCUUCGGAAACUUGAGAGCGGCGCACGGGUGCGUAACACGUGUGCAACCUACCUUUAUCUGGGGGAUAGCCUUUCGAAAGGAAGAUUGAUACCCCAUAAUAUAAUGAUUGGCAUCAAUUAUUAUUGAAAACUCCGGUGGAUAGAGAUGGGCACGCGCAAGAUUAGAUAGUUGGUGAGGUAACGGCUCACCAAGUCAAUGAUCUUUAGGGGUCCUGAGAGGGAGAUCCCCCACACUGGUACUGAGACACGGACCAGACUCCUACGGGAGGCAGCAGUGAGGAAUAUUGGACAAUGGGUGAGAGCCUGAUCCAGCCAUCCCGCGUGAAGGAUGACGGUCCUAUGGAUUGUAAACUUCUUUUGUACAGGGAUAAACCUACCCUCGUGAGGGUAGCUGAAGGUACUGUACGAAUAAGCACCGGCUAACUCCGUG
rnacentral:rRNA from 1 species